rnacentral:rRNA from 1 species
GACGAACGCUGGCGGCGCGCCUAACACAUGCAAGUUGAACGAGCAAAGAGGAGCUUGCUUCUCUGAGCGAGUGGCGAACGGGUGAGUAACGCGUGAGGAACCUGCCUCAAAGAGGGGGACAACAGUUGGAAACGACUGCUAAUACCGCAUAAGCCCACGGGUCGGCAUCGACCAGAGGGAAAAGGAGCAAUCCGCUUUGAGAUGGCCUCGCGUCCGAUUAGCUAGUUGGUGAGGUAAUGGCCCACCAAGGCGACGAUCGGUAGCCGGACUGAGAGGUUGAACGGCCACAUUGGGACUGAGACACGGCCCAGACUCCUACGGGAGGCAGCAGUGGGGAAUAUUGCACAAUGGGGGAAACCCUGAUGCAGCGACGCCGCGUGGAGGAAGAAGGUCUUCGGAUUGUAAACUCCUGUUGUUGAGGAAGAUAAUGACGGUACUCAACAAGGAAGUGA